CGGGUGAGUAACACGUGGAUAACCUACCUAUAAGACUGGGAUAACUUCGGGAAACCGGAGCUAAUACCGGAUGAUAUUUUGAACCGCAUGGUUCAAAAGUGAAAGACGGUCUUGCUGUCACUUAUAGAUGGAUCCGCGCUGCAUUAGCUAGUUGGUAAGGUAACGGCUUACCAAGGCAACGAUGCAUAGCCGACCUGAGGGGGUGAUCGGCCACACUGGAACUGAGACACGGUCCAG
rnacentral:rRNA from 1 species